AGUGUAUGAUAGUCUCUUUUCCCCAUGACUUUGACAAUGAUGUGUAUCACCAAACGUGAUGACCUUUUCCAAUCAUGUGGUGUUUCACUCUUGUUACCCAGGCUGGAGUGCAAUGGCACGAUCUCGGCUCACUGCCAUCUCUGCCUCCCGGGUUCCAGCGAUUCUUCUGCCUCAGCCUCCUGAGUAGCUGGGAUUACAGGAAAAAUGGCUGCUGUAUGAAAGGAAGAUAAUUCACUUUAGACUGGAAGCUCCCACAGGAAAACAUCUCAGCCACUUCAACCUUCAGCAACAACCACCCUGAUAAGUCAGCUACCAUCCACAUUAAGCUGAAACCAAGGAUAAAGGCCAACCAUUGCUAUUUAUCAAUGCCCAGCUAAUUAGUGAGUAAAAAGAUGAAAGUGAAUCUUUUAAAAACUAGUCUAAUAUGAAGAAAACAACAGUUAACUGAGCUCUUAUAACAUAGUCAUCUAUUUUU